rnacentral:rRNA from 1 species
GGAAUCUUCCACAAUGGACGGCAAGUCUGAUGGAGCAACGCCGCGUGAGUGAAGAAGGGUUUCGGCUCGUAAAGCUCUGUUGUUAAAGAAGAACGUGGGUAAGAGUAACUGUUUACCCAGUGACGGUAUUUAACCAGAAAGCCACGGCUAACUACGUGCCAG